rnacentral:rRNA from 1 species
GAUGAACGCUGGCGGCGUGCCUAAUACAUGCAAGUCGAGCGAACGGACCAGAAGCUGUCUUCUCUGAUUUUAUCGGCGGACGGAUGAUGAACACGUGUAUAACCUACCUAUAAGACUGGGAUAAUUUCGGGGAACCGUAUCUAAUACCGGAUAAUAUUUUGAACCUCGUUGUUCCAAAGUUAAAUUCGCUCUUUCUUUCACUAAUAGAUUAAUCCGCCCUGCAUUAGUUAGUUGGUAAGGUGACGGCUUACCAAGGCAACGAUGCAUAGCCGACCUCAAAGGGUGAUCGGCCACACUGGAAGUGAGACACGGUACCGACUCUUACGGGAGGACGCAGCCGGGAAUCUUACGCGAUGGGCGAGAGCGUGAUGGAGGAAAGCGGGGUGAGUGAUGAAGGUGCUAGGAUGCGAAAACUCUGUAAUCAGGGAAGAAGAAAUGUGUAAGUAACCGUGAAGAUAAUGACGGUACCUAAUCAGAAAGCCCCGGCUAACUACGUG